CCUGCUCAAUGCCUAAGUAAAUAGCCGCAAAUUCUGUGCAAAGGUAGCAUAAUCACUUGUCUUUUAAUUUAAGAAUAGAAUGAAGGGAAUAACGAAUUACUAACUUUUUUAUUACUUUAAAAUAAAAUUUAUUUAGAUGUAAAAACCCCUCUAUUUAAAGAAAAGACGACAAGACCCUUUAGAACUUAACUAAAGUUAAGCUGGGAAGGCUAAAAAAUAAAAACUUAUAUUAAAUAUAAAAAAUCCUAAUAUAAUUAUUAAACAAGUUACCUAAGGGAUAACAGCACAAUAAAAUACCAAAGAUCAAAUAAAAUAUUUAAAUUGUGACCUCGAUGUUGAAUUACUAAACCUUAAAUAAGUAAAAAUAUUUAAAGUAAGUCUGUUCGACUUAUAAUUUAGUACAU
rnacentral:rRNA from 1 species